rnacentral:rRNA from 1 species
AUACGUAGGGUGCAAGCGUUAAUCGGAAUUACUGGGCGUAAAGCGUGCGCAGGCGGUUUUGUAAGACAGUGGUGAAAUCCCCGGGCUCAACCUGGGAACUGCCAUUGUGACUGCAAGGCUGGAGUGCGGCAGAGGGGGGUGGAAUUCCCCGUGUAGCAGUGAAAUGCGUAGAUAUGCGGAGGAACACCGAUGGCGAAGGCAAUCCCCUGGGCCUGCACUGACGCUCAUGCACGAAAGCGUGGGGAGCAAACAGGAUUAGAUGCCCUGGUAGUCCACGCCCUAAACGAUGUCAACUGGUUGUUGGGGAUUUAUUUUCUCAGUAACGAUGCUAACGCGUGAAGUUGACCGCCUGGGGAGUACGGCCGCAAGGUUAAAACUCAAAUGAAUUGACGGGG